UAACGCGAAGAACCUUACCAAGGCUUGACAUACACGAGAACGGGCCAGAAAUGGUCAACUCUUUGGACACUCGUGAACAGGUGGUGCAUGGUUCUCGUCAGCUCGUGUCGUGAGAUGUUGGGUUAAGUCCCGCAACGAGCGCAACCCUCGUUCUAUGUUGCCAGCGCGUAAUGGCGGGAACUCAUAGGAGACUGCCGGGGUCAACUCGGAGGAAGGUGGGGAUGACGUCAAAUCAUCAUGCCCCUUAUGUCUUGGGCUUCACGCAUGCUACAAUGGCCGGUACAAAGGGCUGCAAUACCGUAAGGUGGAGCGAAUCCCAAAAAGCCGGUCUCAGUUCGGAUUGAGGUCUGCAACUCGACCUCAUGAAGUCGGAGUCGCUAGUAAUCGCAGAUCAGC
rnacentral:rRNA from 1 species